CGUUGACCUCGGAUCAGGUAGGAAUACCCGCUGAACUUAAGCAUAUCAAUAAGCGGAGGAAAAGAAACCAACAGGGAUUGCCUCAGUAACGGCGAGUGAAGCGGCAACAGCUCAAAUUUGAAAUCUGGCCCUAGGCCCGAGUUGUAAUUUGCAGAGGAUGCUUUUGGCGCGGUGCCUUCCGAGUUCCCUGGAACGGGACGCCAUAGAGGGUGAGAGCCCCGUCUGGUCGGACACCAAGCCUCUGUAAAGCUCCUUCGACGAGUCGAGUAGUUUGGGAAUGCUGCUCAAAAUGGGAGGUAUAUGUCUUCUAAAGCUAAAUACCGGCCAGAGACCGAUAGCGCACAAGUAGAGUGAUCGAAAGAUGAAAAGCACUUUGGAAAGAGAGUUAAACAGCACGUGAAAUUGUUAAAAGGGAAGCGUUUAUGACCAGACUUGGGCCGGUUAAUCAUCCAGCGUUCUCGCUGGUGCACUUUGCCGGUCCAGGCCAGCAUCAGUUCGCUGCGGGGGAUAAAGGCGUCGGGAAUGUGGCUCCUCGGAGUGUUAUAGCCCUUCGCGUAAUACCCUGCGGUGGACUGAGGUUCGCGCUCUGCAAGGAUGCUGGCGUAAUGGUCAUCAACGACCCGUCUUGAAACACGGACCAAGGAGUCGUCUUCGUAUGCGAGUGUUCGGGUGUAAAACCCCUACGCGUAAUGAAAGUGAACGCAGGUGAGAGCUUCGGCGCAUCAUCGACCGAUCCUGAUGUUCUCGGAUGGAUUUGAGUAAGAGCAUACGGGGCCGGACCCGAAAGAAGGUGAACUAUGCCUGUAUAGGGUGAAGCCAGAGGAAACUCUGGUGGAGGCUCGCAGCGGUUCUGACGUGCAAAUCGAUCGUCAAAUAU
rnacentral:rRNA from 1 species